CCCAGCUCGUCACGCUAGAGCACUUUUUCAAUGUGCUGCCCAACGACAAGGUGACAACGCAUUUGUAUGUCAACCAUAUCAACUUUCGAUGCCAUUUACUGCGCCUUCCAUGGUGACCACGGGUAAUGGGGAAUCAGGGUUCAAUUCCUGAGAGGGAGCCUGAGAAAUGGCUACCACAUGCAAGGAAGGUAGCAGGCGCGCAAAUGACCCACUCCCGAUGCGGGGAGGUAGUGAUG
rnacentral:rRNA from 1 species